GCAAGUCGAGCGAGAAAGCCCUUCGGAGAAUGAGUAGAGCGGCGAACGGGUGAGUAACACGUAAAUAACCUGCCCCUAAAUCUGGGACAACCUUUCUAACGAGAGGCUAAUACCGGAUGUGGAUUCAGAGUCUCAUGGCUUUGAUUUUAAAGAUGACCUCUUCUUGAAAGUUAUUGUUUAGGGAUGGAUUUGCGUACUAUUAGUUAGUUGGUGGGGUAAUGGCUCACCAAGACGAUGAUAGUUAGCCGACCUGAGAGGGUGAUC
rnacentral:rRNA from 1 species